rnacentral:rRNA from 1 species
AUGCACGCUGGCGGCGUGCCUAAUCCAUGCAAGUCGAGCGAACAGAUGAGGAGCUUGCUCCUCUGACGUUAGCGGCGGACGGGUGAGUAACACGUGGAUAACCUACCUAUAAGACUGGGAUAACUUCGGGAAACCGGAGCUAAUACCGGAUAAUAUAUUGAACUGCAUGGUUCAAUAGUGAAAGACGGUUUUGCUGUCACUUAUAGAUGGAUCCGCGCCGCAUUAGCUAGUUGGUAAGGUAACGGCUUACCAAGGCAACGAUGCGUAGCCGACCUGAGAGGGCGAUCGGCCACACUGGAACUGAGACACGGUCCAGACUCCUACGGGAGGCAGCAGUAGGGAAUCUUCCGCAAUGGGCGAAAGCCUGACGGAGCAACGCCGCGUGAGUGAUGAAGGUCUUCGGAUCGUAAAACUCUGUUAUUAGGGAAGAACAAAUGUGUAAGUAACUAUGCACGUCUUGACGGUACCUAAUCAGAAAGCCACGGCUAACUACGUG